rnacentral:lncRNA from 1 species
GUUGGGGGUUGAGGUUCUCCUGCUAGAACAAAAAUCUCUGGCUUGGCCUUCCCUCACUAUGCCAGGUUACCCUGGGUUGUGACUGACUUGGUCCCAUCCAGUUCUGCACCAGCUACCUGCAGUAUGGUGCUUUGGCUUAAGCUAUCUGCAGAUUUUGGUGGGCACAGCAGAGAAAGCCUGAUGGGGUAGGGAACUGAACUGAGGUCUAGGAUUCAGGAAUGGAUGGAGGAUAUCUGCCUCUAACAGUCCAAGGCUCAUCCUCUAGGGCCCAGCUAUAGAGGAUGGGGAUCACCUGGAGCUGCAGGCCGGCCUCCAACUUGGUACUGCUGCUGCUCCCCUUCUAAAGCUGAUUGACAGCAGGAAAGGGAGUGGAGUUGCAGUGCAGCUUCCGCUGGUAAGAGUAGCCUCACCCUGAGCAGUCUAGGAGGCCCACAGAAGGAUUUAGGGAGAUAGGGCCCUCUUGGGGCACUUCAGCUCUUUGAGGUGGUGAGUUUGCAAGGAAGUUCCAUCUUAGGACCAUUAACUGCCUACUAUGCUGGACCUGAGGUUGCUGAGAUAAUCUGGCCUUGGAGGAACUGUCAAUCAGAACAAGUACCCCACCCAUCCAUCUAUUCACAAACAGAUAAUCAAAUUCUUGUCCCAGAUCUGGGGGUAUACUGGAAAACAAAUGUCCCCUGCCCUCAUUAGGAAUCCAGGGUAAUGGGGGAAAGCAUCAACAGGAAUAAAAAAGUGAGUUCACAAAUACAAGCUGUGAUAAUGAGAAGAGCAGAGGCUCUGAUAAAGAAUAUAGCAUCAUGUCAAAUGUGAUUUCAAGGUAUAGACAUGC